UAUUCUAAUGUUUACUGUGCACGAUUCUCUGCGCUCGCUGCGGCUACGAUCCCUGCUUAUCAGCAAACGUGUGCGGUGUGCGCAGCCACGGUCACUCCAGAUAAGAUAUAGCAUAAUACUUUAUGUAGAGACGACUUAAGUCAGUUGCGCAGAAAUGCUCGUCGUGGUUGCAUCGCUGCUUAUCGCGUGCCUUCGAUGCAGUUUCGGUCCACGUUUUCAGUUUUUUGUUAGUUUUGUGGCGUGGUGCGGGUGUCGGUGCGUUUUCUGGAUCAUACCGUUUCUUGCAUUGUACUUUAAUAAAUCACCGUCUAAUGGUCAUUAACAGUAUUCAGUUCUAAUCAUUCUGUGUGGUGAACGUGAUGAACCAGUACUAGAAUUAUCUUCAAUUGUUACUAAAAGAAGUUGAUAUUAUUCAUUGUGAACUUCAUGCUUUCGGAAACGGCGUUUGUUAGAGUAAACAAUAUUUUCCGUGCCUUGGAGUCCGAUGACGUCUGCAUUAGAAUUCGUUCUGCGCGUUUGUUGCGUACGCACCUACUGGUAGAAUUCAUCAUUUACGCAUGCGCUACGCACUUUACUUUGUUUACGGUCAACAUUGUCAUCUCUCCUUGGCUCCGGCAGUGUUAGUUGUGCAGUCUUAGCGCAUCUCCGUAGUGUUACAUCGCGUGUUUUUAAAGUGCAAUAUUCAAUUGGCAAUCGACUGCAGUUAAUGACUAUUGAGUUAUGAUUAAUUGUGUUUGUACUUUUCAUAAAUGCGCACAUAUAGUGUCUUCUUGUGAUUUUCAUCAGUCGGAUAUUACCUUUGUGGGUACAAAAUUUGAAGACUAUUGUGAUGAGAAAAUUUACAUAAUGUCAAGGAGUUGAACGUGUACAAUCGUGCCCGCAGUCAAUUGUUACAGGGGGAGUUCCUGCAACAAACUAAUACCACCCGACGAAGAAUUUAAUUCCGCUUCGAUGAAGUUAGUGAGACGCCUAGAUCGUGAGUAAACACGAAAAAACCAUGAAAAAUUACAAUUUUAUGACUCGUAUUUAGGGCACCGUACGAGGGUAGCGGUAGAAGUGACUCGUAUUCAGGGCACCGUACGAGGGUAGCGGUACAUUUUUAUGCAAAUUUUCGCGAGUUACAAGGGCAGUUCCUCCAACCAACAUAUACCACCCGACGGAGAAUUUAAUUCCGCAUCUUUUGACGCCACGCUGAAGUUAGUGUGACGCCUAGAUCGCGAGCAAACACGAAAAAACCAUGGAAAAUUACAAUAUUAUGCAAAUUUUCGCGGGUUACAGGUGGAAUUCCGGCAACAAACUAUUACCACCCGACGGAAAAUUUAAUUCCGCAUCUUUUGACGCCACGCUGAAGUUAGUGCGACGCCUAGAUCGCGAGCAAACACGAAAAAACCAUGGAAAAUUACAAUAUUAUGCAAAUUUUUGCGGGUUACAGGGGAAAUUUCGGCAACAAACUAUUUCCUCCCGACGGAAAAUUUAAUUCCGCAUCUUUUGACGCAACGCUGAGGCUAGUGCGAUACCUAGAUCACGAGCAAACACGAAAAAACCAUAGAAAAUUACAAUUUUAUGCAAAUUUUCGCGGGUUACAGUGGAAAUUCCGGUAACAAACUAUUACCACCCGACGGAAAAUUUAAUUCCGCAUCUUUUGACGCCACGCUGAAAUUAGUGCGACGCCUAGAUCGCAAGCAAACACGAAAAAACCAUGAAAAAUUACAAUUUUAUGCAAACUUUCGCGGGUUACAGGGGGAAUUCCGGCAACAAACUAUUACCA